UUUCCGUUAACGGUUCAUUUCUUCUACGUAUGGGUUGAGUGAAUCAUCGCGUUGGUCUGAUUCUCUUGCAUAAAAAAUCGCGGGAGAGACGCAAGAUGAUUAUUAAAAAAUCUGUACAAGAGAGAGCAUUUUUUAAGGAAAUUGAUAUGACUUGACUUGUGGAAAGGAAUGAAUCAUUUAAAGAAAUAGCUCAAAUAGCUAAUAUAAAUCUGCCCCAAAUUCCAAAGAAAACAUCCACAAAGAUCUGAGAGAGUUUAGAGAUUAAAAAAUGUACACAAGAGAGCAUUUUUUAAAGGAAAUUGAUAUAACCUGACUUGUGGAAGGAAUAAACCAUUUAAAAAAAAUGGCUAAUAUAAAUCGGUCCUGAAUUCCAAAGAAAACAUCCACAAAGAUCUGAGAGAGUUUUGAGAUUAAAAAAUCUGCAUAAAAGAGCAUUAUUUAUGAAAUGACAUAAUCUGACCUAUAGAAAAGAAUAAACCAAUUAUAUAAAAAAAUGUCUGGAAUAAACCCUUUUCUAAAAAUAACCAAUAUAAAUCGAUCCCGAAUUCCAAAAGAAAAUAUCCACAAAGAUUUAACAAAGUUUCUAGGAAAAGAAAAUAGCAUGCAGAAUGAAGAGAUAUUGAAUUCAUUGAUUGAUUCUCUCAAUUUUGUUUGAAAAGAAAUAGCAUGAAAGGACUUUCCUGUGUUAAUAUGAUAGUAAACUGCUCCAAAAAUAACGUUGCCAACUCUAUUUCGGUUAUCGUGCACAAAUAUCUGCAAUGCGUUUUUAUAUGUAUCUCUUGUUUUAACGUGUAUUAUCAAUUGUAUUUUUGUCACUGAAUACGGUUGGAUCUAUGUAUGUAUGUAUGUAUGUAUGUAUGUAUGUAUGUAUGUAUGUUCCUUUAACUCCUGUAUGGAGUAUAAAACCUCUAAUGAGAUUUCAAUAAUAAAAUUUUUUCUGGAAUUCGUGUAAUAUCCAGCUUGCAAUCUGGGGGAUCCAUACAUAAUACAUGUAUCCACUGACUUACAGUUUAAAGGUGAUAUUUCAUUUGUGCGCUUUUGUCAUACAAAUUUUUCAAGUCUGUUGAUUGGCUAUUUGAUAGAGAGAUCGGAGGACCUCUCUGUUCUGUACAUAUUUGUUGUACGACAAAAACACAAAUGAGCACCCUAAAGCCGGUACGACAAAAACGCACAAAUAAGCCGGAUCUGAACGGCGCUGGUGAUCAAACCUGGUGGAGUCAUUUUUGACUCCUUAAGGGGGUAUUCUAGUCUAGAAGAAUUUUUUUAUGCUAUAUUUACAGCCAAUGACUGCGUUCAGCAGGUCAUAUUUUUUUGCAACUGUUGGAAAUUUUCUUUGCUGAAAUAGAACUAUUCCUUUAUAUCUAAAAGUAGGUAUAAUCUAAUUAGCGCGAAGAAACUUCCAACAGUUGCAAAAUAAACAUUCUACUAAACAUGACCAAUUGUACCAAAUAGCAAGUAAUCU